UUGAGGCAGUGACCUGACAUGUAACUGGAUCCCGUUUAGCCAUGGUUGAAGUUGGAUACUCCUUGCUCCUCAGAUUGCAGACGGCCUAUUGUGGGACCUUGUGAUCAUCAAGGCAAGAAGGCCUGACACGUUCAAUGUGCUCUAACCUCCUGCCAAGUAGUGUGCAAGGUUCAAGAGAUGGAAAAUUGGAAGCGAAAGUCCUUGGAGAAGCUCUCAUUCAACUGAAAGCAAAUAUGGAACAGAUAAGAAGGCAAGAAAAGGAUCAUCACAAAUAUAGCCUGACUGGAUGCUGUUUAGAGCAGUAGCUAUUCUAUAUCCUCACAUUCUCAGGUUCUAUAAUCUGAAAAUAGCUAAAUAAAAAUAAUAGCUGAGCCCAAA
rnacentral:lncRNA from 10 species